UAGCACAGAGGCAAUGAGAGUAUAUCUUAAUAGUUAAGUAUUUUUAUUUUGGUGUUUUCUAUUUCUUUAUAUAAUAUGAAUAUUAAAUAUUAGCCUUAUUUAGAUAUUGAUUUUUCUAUAUCUUCUAGUGAGUAUCAUAUUGACAAGUAGUUUGCAUAGUGUCUAGAAAUGCACAGUUAUAGCACAAUUAAUUUUAAAACAUUUUCAUAGUCCACUCACCCCAAACACCCCAUAGUCACUUGUAGUAAAACCAUUCUCUCUGCCAUUCAGCCCUCAACAAACACAUAUCUAUUUUACAUCUCUAAAGACCUGCUUGUUCUGAAAAUGUUAGCAUAACUAAAAUGGUGUAGUAGGUUAUAUUUUUUUAAUUUGUUUCCUUCAUUAUGUCCAAAGCUUGGUAUCAAAUGAGUCAGCUCACCAACCCUCCUUCAGGUGAGUGAUGUAUAGUGUUUGAACUCACAGGUCGUGUUUAUCCAUUUCUCAGUAUGAGUUGCUUCCAGUUUGUCGCUAUUAUGAAUAAUUAAGCAAUAUUUACAAAUCUGCACAUAAAUCUUUAUGCAGAUGAGUGUUUAAUUUUGGUUAUAUAAAAAAGAGGACCUCUGGACCAUGUUGUACCUAUGGUUAUUGUUUUGAGGAAAUGUCAGGCUUCUGUCUGAGUGACUGGCAUUUUUCACAUUCUUACAGUACUUUUUGAGGCCUCUGAUUUCUCUGUAGAUGUUCCAACAUAUAUUAUUUACUUUUCUUGGUUGUUUUAUAGACUGCAAGGUGGAUGUUAAAUGUUAUCUCUCUAAAGACUUCACUUGAGUUACACAGAUAGCUAAUUAUUUUUACCAAAAUGAUUAUGCAUGGUAAAAUACAUUGAAACACUUUCCCUAUUUAACUACAUUUUUGUAAGGUUGUAAUUUGUUAGCUUGUCUUUUAAAAAUUCCAUUGGUGCUGUAUUGUGUAUGAAGAUAGAGGUGGGAAAAUACAGUUCUAUAGAAAACCAAAUGAACUUUAAGUGGUUCCUUGGAUAUUUAUAACUCAUCAGGUCUCUGUGUAACUGAUAAUCCACCUGUCUUGGUACAUUAAUGUAUGAGGAAAUCAUGGAUAUUCACAGUCAGUAUUCUCUAUUCAAAUUGAUACUUCACUAAAAUCCAUGUUUAAAAGAUGUGCACAGUUAUAGAGAAGUAUAGAAAGAAUAACAAGCAGACAGUAAUCAAAACAGAAAACCAAGCAACUGGUGAUAAAUCUGGCCUCUUAGUAUGG
rnacentral:lncRNA from 1 species